CAGAAUUUAAACACAUUUGGUUUGUCUCACAGAUUUUAAUGAAAUUGACUAAAAUAUAAAGUUUUAUAAAUAUUUCAUGAAGAUUGAGAAAAUCCUUGGCCUUGACUAUGAUAACUACAGCAUCAAUUCACAGUGUACAGUAUACAUAGUUUACUCAAAGCCCUGAAUGCCAAAAAAAAUCAUAAUACAUGCAUAUUUGUAAGUUAAAUUGUUAAGAAGUGCUUAUAUUUAAAGGCAACAGUAGUAUACCGCUGUUCAAAACUCAUAAUUCUAUGGACAAAAACAAAAUCGGGGUAACAAACUAAAACUGAGAGAAACGCAUUAAAUAUUAGAGGAGAACAACGACACAACAUUAAAAUGUAACGCACACAGCAACGGACUCAUAUUUACUCUUCGCUAUCUUUGAAAUUCAUAGAUCCUUCUACAAAAUUAUUGUUGGGGUGUUUUUGUCCAGUCGAUAACCCAAAAGUAAACCGUAACACCUAAAUCUGCUUUUUUGUCACCACGACAUAAACAAUCCAAGCUAGAAUCACUAUAAUAUCUCAAUUAAACUUACAAUAGUGUGCCCUAUCCUGAAUAUGUACUAAAUAUUCCAUAUUGCUAGAAACAGCAGAUUUAUUUAGGAAAUUUGAGGCCCCAGGGGCAAAAAGCAGAGAAAAUUGCCUACACCCUAGG
rnacentral:lncRNA from 1 species